CGGGCCUCCGGGCGUGGCGGUAACGGUCCGCGGGAGGGCGGCGGGGGGAGCGGAGCUGUAGUGGGGAACAGGAAGCGGUGGGGAGAAGGGAGUAACAAAGGCAGGAUGGGAAAUGGAAACGGGAGCGGCGCCUGCUUAGCAGCGAGCGUGAGACAGAGCUCGGGAGAAGCACGUGUGAGGCAGCAGCGCAAUCUGCCGGGCUGCAGUGACUCCCACCUCCGCAAGAAAGAGGGGCUUUUCUCUCACAGCCGUACCCAGGCCGUGGCUCCUCCACCCACCCCCUGCCAACCAGUGUAGCAGACGCAGCUGGGAGCCGAAAUGCUUGGAUAUUACCGAGAUUCCUGUUAAACUUGACUGACCACUUCCUGCUCCCCUGCUCCAGCACCAGCGUUCCUUAAUGACAGGAGCACAGACUCAGGGAACUGAGCUGGGGCAGUAAAGUAGUCUAGAGAAAGAAGCUAACAUCUGGAGACGCUACACGCUUACUUCAGAGGCCGUGUAAUGAAGAGCAAGGGACAGGAAGAAGACCCAGAACCCCUCUGUGACUGCACUGCAGAACACAGCUGCCCUGUCAGGGUGUGACAGGGUAUCUGUAAGAACUCCAUCAGAGACUCGAGAACUUACAAUAGCGACCAAAUCUGAACAAAUCUGCAAAGUUUAUUACAAACGUGCAGUUACAAAUAAACUGACAUCCGCCUAGAAAUCUGAAAUAAACCAGUCUUUCCUUUUGCAAAGUAUUUGUUUGAGUUUCUAAGGUAAUGAAGACAUGGCUUUUGAACAACUAUGGGACUGUAUCCUUGGCUGCAUCUAAAACCUUUGUUCUUCAUGGCAUCACUAACAUCAACAGAGUCCUGUAAACCACAAGUCUCUUUAACAGCUUGUCGUACUACCUACAUAAUUGAUAAAUUCAAGUAUAAAUGUUAAAGUAAAAAUAAAUGAGAGUAACUGAUGCAUGAGCGUGCUCUGGCAGAGGAAAGAAAAUAAGUUCCCAAAGCCUGAUGGGGACAUUGCAGAAGAAAAGAAGGUAACUGAGUAGACACCAACUACUGGCAUAAUCUUACGUAUGGGGAAUCUGUUGCAGCUGGUAACUGAAGCCUUUACAUAGUAAACAGCUAUAUUUACUUUUCCUUCUCCCUCUUGUACCUGAUCUGAGAUCUUUACAGAGGCCGCAGUCAGAAGAUUCAUUUUUAGCCUGAUUUCCUAAGGAAGUCUGUUGGCGCUUCUGCCUGUGGAUCCCCUUUCUUCCUCCCUUUCCUUGCCAAAAAAGCAUGUCUAAGCCGUUGCCCAAUUCCAUCUAAAUUUGGACAAAGAGAUAGAGCUUUCAAAGGUGACUGCUGUGAAAUGCAAAGCCGAGUCAAUGAGAUAGACCAUAAUAAAAUUGCCGCUGAUAAAAUGGCAAGCGUGCGCAGACACUGCUUAAUAUACAUCAGAGAGUCCACACAGCAGUGCCACAUCAGGACAAGUCCAUAGGAAACCAGGCUUCACUUGUUCUGCUGCUCACAGAAAAAAAAAUAAUAUAUAUAUAUAUUUAUAAUCCCAUUAGCUCAUCCUUUAACAGAGGGAAGAGUACAGUAAAUGACUCAGUGUUCAAAGGAAAAUCAAUGAUAGUGGAAUAUCAAAGGAAAGAGGCUCCAGUCAAGACUUAAAUUGCUGUUAGCAGACAAUGAACCAAGAGCUGCAUGUAGUCUCCACUAGCUCAUUAAUAACACUCCAUUUGGGGCCCCAUCCCAAGCUACAUAAGAAAGCCAAACUCACAUUUCAACUCCUAAUGUCAUUUAUCUUCCUCGUGUAGAUGCUAGUAACCCCAUGACUACUUUUUCAAAUAAGUAAUUCUGAGCAGGAUUUGUUUUAAUAAGGCUGAUAUCAGGGAAGUAGUAGGACCGCUUCUUUUGUCAAAAGUCAGAAUGAGAUCAGCUUAAAAUGAACUGUCAAGCCACAUCCUAAAGGCUCAGUUUCACAAUGCAACAAGGUGGAUGGAAGGUUUAGUCACUGGUUGAAAAAACAAUUCUGAUUCCCUCUUCUGCCUGUAGCCUUCCUUCUGCCGCCUCACUUCUACAAACAUGGAUGCCAGUUUGAUUCAAGGAAUUUAGUGAACAGAAAGCUAAUAGAACAAAACAGAGUUUUCUUGUGGUUUAACUCCUUGGACUGCUCACCACAGAGCCAGAUCUCAGUGCAACUACAUCCUAAGCCAAUAGAUGAAUCAGCUGCAACUCAGUCAGUGCAGGAAUCUGCCAGAGUUUGCAUGUUUUGCAAAGAAUCUGAUCUGCUUUCAGAGGUGUGAGCUGCCAGAUUGAUCCCAUGAGGAUGAGUUGUAUUAACAUGAAUCAUCAUCAACAUAUUUCUUCAUUAAUUGCCUACUCUUUCACUGCAUAUGUAGGAUUAGAGAGGAAUUUCACAAUUCCAUUUCUUGAAGAGCUGACCAACCUACCUCAGUGGCUGAGUUCCAGAAGAUAAAGUAAGUUGGUCUUAGCUCAUGGUUGCUGAGAAAGUGACAUCUCCUAUAUAUCCAAGAACUUUGCUCCAAAUAACACACUCUUGACUGGCCUGUGCUGAUUUGGGCACUCAACGGGACACUUCUGUGAGCCAAAUGAACUGCAAACUGGUAGACAAACAGGUCCAACGAGUAGCAGCACCAGGACAAAGAAAGUGACAGAACACAAAGCCAAGAAAAGUAAAUCCUCCCUACAGAAGCUACAAGUCAUUAAAUAGGCUCAGCUGCAUGUUAAAGCUACAUCUUAAGCUGAACAGCCCCAAGGGUUGACGUUUGGGAGAACGGUGCUUGUUCUUCCCACCUUUCAGCUCUGUGAAACAAAUGAAUAAGCAAAAGGAAAAAAAGCCCAGAAGCUAUCUAGUUUCUUCUAGAGGGAAUAAACUCAAUCAUCUAAUUUAUUUAUUUUUUAAAUGUUAUGGCUAAAAUAUGACAUCAUCGUCUUGGCUCGCUCUCCUUUUCCUUCUAUCCCCCCCCCAUACCUCCAAUCACCAAUAAUAAUAAUAAUAAUAAUAAUAAAUCCAGCCUGUUCUCAGUAAAUAAAAGCCUUUACCCUGCCACAUCUCCCUCUCUACCUGUCUCUCUGGCGCAUUUGUAGACCGACUCCACAGACAUCAAACUACCAGCAACUUCUCCAUUUCCACUGUGGAUUAAGCAAAGCCAUUCAGAGGCUCAGCAGAGCUCAGAAAAAAAAAAAAAAGUAUUUGAACCUUACUGUCUUUGACCUGACACAAUUAAGCAUGCUUCACUUUAAAUCUUAUUUUACCUAUUUAGCCUUCCUUCCAAGUGUUCUUAGACAGAUUCUCCUCAUGCUGCGUCACAGAGCUGUAUCCUUGGUCUUCUGCUUUUAUCCUCCCACGUUUUUUCAGAGUUAUCUCAUCUGAAAUACAAGUACCAACUCUUUGCAGAUGAUUUACAGAUCUGCUCCUUUCCCCGGAGUUAUUUAUCCAAACUUAAAUCAUAGCCAUUUUCUCUCUCUCUGGAUGACUAGCAGGAAGCUAUAGCUCAGCAAAGCUAGAACCUGGUUCUU
ensembl:lncRNA